CGCGUAGGCGGAUUAUUAAGUUAGGGUGAAAUCCCGGGGCUCAACCCCGGAACUGCCUCUAAUACUGGUAGUCUUGAGUUCGAGAGAGGUGAGUGGAAUUCCGAGUGUAGAGGUGAAAUUCGUAGAUAUUCGGAGGAACACCAGUGGCGAAGGCGGCUCACUGGCUCGAUACUGACGCUGAGGUGCGAAAGCGUGGGGAGGCAAAACA
rnacentral:rRNA from 1 species